rnacentral:rRNA from 1 species
GAUGAACGCUGGCGGCGUGCCUAAUACAUGCAAGUCGAGCGAACGGACGAGAAGCUUGCUUCUCUGAUGUUAGCGGCGGACGGGUGAGUAACACGUGGAUAACCUACCUAUAAGACUGGGAUAACUUCGGGAAACCGGAGCUAAUACCGGAUAAUAUUUUGAACCGCAUGGUUCAAAAGUGAAAGACGGUCUUGCUGUCACUUAUAGAUGGAUCCGCGCUGCAUUAGCUAGUUGGUAAGGUAACGGCUUACCAAGGCAACGAUGCAUAGCCGACCUGAGAGGGUGAUCAGCCACACUGGAACUGAGACACGGUCCAGACUCCUACGGGAGGCAGCAGUAGGGAAUCUUCCGCAAUGGGCGAAAGCCUGACGGAGCAACGCCGCGUGAGUGAUGAAGGUCUUCGGAUCUUAAAACUCUGUUAUUAGGGAAGAACAUAUGUGUAAGUAACUGUGCACAUCUUGACGGUACCUAAUCAGAAAGCCACGGCUAACUACGUG